UACGUAGGGUGCGAGCGUUAAUCGGAAUUACUGGGCGUAAAGCGUGCGCAGGCGGUUUUGUAAGCCAGAUGUGAAAUCCCCGGGCUUAACCUGGGAAUGGCAUUUGGGACUGCAAGGCUGGAGUUUGGCAGAGGAGACUGGAAUUCCUGGUGUAGCAGUGAAAUGCGUAGAUAUCAGGAGGAACACCGAUGGCGAAGGCAGGUCUCUGGGCCGAAAUUGACGCUGAGGAGCGAAAGCGUGGGGAGCGAACAGG
rnacentral:rRNA from 1 species